GUCCAGACUCCUACGGGAGGCAGCAGUGGGGAAUAUUGGACAAUGGGGGGAACCCUGAUCCAGCGACGCCGCGUGGGUGAAGGAGCGUUUCGGCGCGUAAAGCCCUAUCGGCAGGGAAGAAGGAGGACGGUACCUGACUAAGAAGCCCCGGCUAACUACGUGCCAGCAGCCGCGGGAAUACGUAGGGGGCAAGCGUUAUCCGGAUUUACUGGGUGUAAAGGGAGCGUAGACGGCGAUGCAAGCCAGAUGUGAAAGCCCGGGGCUCAACCCCGGGACUGCAUUUGGAACUGUGUGGCUGGAGUGUCGGAGAGGCAGGCGGAAUUCCUGGUGUAGCGGUGAAAUGCGUAGAUAUUAGGAGGAACACCAGUGGCGAAGGCGGCUUACUGGACUGUAACUGACGUUGAGGCUCGAAAGCGUGGGGAGCAAACAGGAUUAGAUACCCGUGUAUG
rnacentral:rRNA from 1 species